UACAGAGGGGGCAAGCGUUGUUCGGAAUUACUGGGCGUAAAGGGCGCGUAGGCGGCCCGCUAAGUCGAACGUGAAAUCCCUGGGCUUAACCCAGGAACUGCGUCCGAUACUGGCAGGCUUGAAUCCGGGAGAGGGAUGCGGAAUUCCAGGUGUAGCGGUGAAAUGCGUAGAUAUCUGGAGGAACACCGGUGGCGAAGGCGGCAUCCUGGACCGGCAUUGACGCUGAGGCGCGAAAGCCAGGGGAGCAAACGGG
rnacentral:rRNA from 1 species